rnacentral:rRNA from 1 species
AACAAUACAGGAAUCUUUCCAGGCCUUGUAAUUUGAAUGAGUACACUUUAAAUCCUUUAACAAGGAUCUAUUGGAGGGCAAGUGUGGUGCAGAGCGACUGACCCGUGCGUGCUGCAGCUGGAAACUCCACUAUCGCCUGCUGCUCCUCGCACAGUCUCUCCAG